rnacentral:rRNA from 1 species
AACGAACGCUGGCGGCGCGCCUAAUACAUGCAAGUCGAGCGAGAAGGUGUAGCAAUACACUUGUAAAGCGGCGAACGGGUGAGGAAUGCAUGGGUAACCUACCCUCGAGUGGGGAAUAACUAGCCGAAAGGUUAGCUAAUACCGCAUACGUUUCCGGAACUUCGGUUUCGGAAAGAAAGCAAUACCGUGGGUAUUGCGCUCCUGGAUGGGCUCAUGUCCUAUCAGCUUGUUGGUGAGGUAACGGCUCACCAAGGCUUCGACGGGUAGCUGGUCUGAGAGGACGAUCAGCCACACUGGCACUGCGACACGGGCCAGACUCCUACGGGAGGCAGCAGUAAGGAAUAUUGCGCAAUGGACGAAAGUCUGACGCAGCGACGCCGCGUGGGGGAUGAAGGUCUUCGGAUUGUAAACCCCUUUCGGGAGGGAAGAUGGAGUGGGGUAACCACUUGGACGGUACCUCCAGAAGCAGCCACGGCUAACUCGUGCCAGCAG